rnacentral:lncRNA from 1 species
AAAAAAGAACCAUAACAACCAGUGUUGUAUGGUGGACCCAAUUUUGCCACUAACUCAGUGUGGUCUUGAGCAAGUCAUUUCCCACCUGUUUCCUCAUCUAUAAAAUGACAGCUAGGGAUGGGCUAAAGGAGCCUUGAGGUUUCUUCCAGGUCCCAAAGCCUCUGCUUCAGCUUUCCUCCAAAAUGCCUGCAGCCCCCAGAACCUCCAGGUAGCGCUUCCUGGCAUGUCUCCUUGGCACGGCCAACAUCAUAGAACCACCAUACCGAAAACUCGGCCCUUCCUGUGAGGCGGCUGCUCUGAAUGUGUUAGUAGGGAGUGCUUGUCAGCCAGAGAAGAACAGAGGCCUGGCUCUGCACCUGUGGCUCCACUGGGAAGAUAGAAUAAGCCUCCCCUCCUCCAAGACUCAGCUCAUCCAGCAUGGUGGCUCACAUCUGUAAUCCCAGCACUAUAGGAGGCCGAGGUGGGAGGAUCGCUUGAGCCCAGGAAUUUGAGGCGACACAGCAAAACCCCAUCUCUACUAAAGAUUAUAAAAAUUGGCCGAGUGUGGUGGCACACACCUGUAGUCCCAGCGGCUGAGGUGGGAGGAUCACUUGAACCUGGAGGCAGAAGUUGCAGUGAGCUGAAAUCACACCACUGCACUCCAGCUUGGGCGACAGAGUGAGACCCUGUCUCAAAAACAAAGAAUGUGAGUACACAAUCGUUAAGUGCCCCACCUAGUUUUAGUUCUGGCUAGAGCAUAUGCUCUAUAACCCUGUUGGACUCUUAAGGCAAAGGAGAGGUCCAGGCAAUGACUGCAUCCAGGCAAGGAAGCAGGCACGGCAGCUUGGGAGCCAGGAGUCAAGCCCCGUGGCGAGGGCAUCUGACUGCAAGCCUUAGCACAGCCCAAGCAGGGUUAUGUGCUCUCUCAAGAAACGGAACAGGAAGGAGGAGGAGACAGGGUCUGGUUUAGCUUUCAGGCUUCAAGUGCCACCUGCUGGCAAGAAGGCUCCGUGCAAGGGCUCAUUGGCCCAGAGCCAGAGAAGGGGAGGCUGCGCGAUUCCAGCCUAGACCCAGCCCUACUCCAGAAAAUAGGCCUCCCCAGGGACCUGAGUCGCAUGGAGUGGAGUGGAAUGAACGGCCAGAGACGGAUCAUAACCAUAAAGAGUGACACUGUUGGGAGGCCGAGGUGGGCAAAUCACAAGGUCAGGAGAUCGGGACCAUCCUGGCUAGCACAGAUUAGCACAGACUCUACUAAACUCUACUAAAAAUACAACAAAAAUUUGCCGGGCAUGGUGGCACAUGCCUGUAAUCCCAGCUACUCGGGAGGCUGAGUCAGGAGAAUUGCUUGAACCCGGGAGGUGGAGGUUGCAGUGAACCGAGAUCACGCCACUGCAUUCCAGCCUGGCGACAGAGCAAUCUCAAAAAAAGAAAAAAGAGUGAUACUAGGGAUCUGAAUGUAAUUGCGCAAAGGAAAAGAGCUAUUUAUGCCCAUGAUGUAUUGUUUGUU